AGCUGAACUAACUAAAGAAUCCAAGAACUGAAAGAAGACAGAACAAGAGAAAGAGGAUACAACAAUUAGAUGCCAGUCGUGUUCUUGAGAGGAUAUUCUAGGGAAAGAACAAGGAGUUUCUCUCUCCUCACAGCUGCCUGGGACACAUGCGGAGUCGAUUGUCACAUUAAAAAGCCGAGGGAUAAGCAAAAACACAUCCAAAGCAGGCAGCCAGAAGGAAGAGAAGUCUGGGGUCCAAGUCACAGGAUGCACAUUGGAGGCAACUGGGAAUGCCUCCUCUGCAGAGGGGACAAGUAAGGAGCAAUACAGUCACUGAUUCAAACAUCUGGAGCACUCAAAGACAGAUACCUGAAACAUCCAGGAAAUGGUCAUGAAAAGAUUAAAAAGUCAAUUACGUAGGUGACACAAGAUAAUAUACGCAUGAAAUAUAAUAUAAUGCCACUACUUAGACUGCACAGUAAAAAAGCAAUGUGGCAGGGAUACAGAGCUGUCCCUGUCAUAAAAGGCGCGGCACAAAGGUUUACAGGAAACAGGAGCACCGCUUCCUGCACAAGUUCAUUUAUAAGCCGUCAAAAUGUGUUAGGAAAACCAGAAGAAGUUUGUAACAGCAGCUAGAAGAAUUAAGCAAAGGAAUAAUCUAGUAGUUUUAAAAAAGCAUGUGAU